rnacentral:rRNA from 1 species
GACAGAGGCCUCGAGCGUUAGGCGGAAUCACUGGGCUUAAAGCGCGUGUAGGCGGAUCGUUAAGUGCCUUGUGAAAUCCCGCGGCUCAACCGCGGAACCGCUGGGCAUACUGGCGGUCUUGGGCCACUCAGGGGUCACUGGAACAAGCGGUGGAGCGGUGAAAUGCGUAGAUAUCGCUUGGAGCGCCAAAGGUGAAGACAGGUGACUGGGGGUGUGCCGACGCUGAGACGCGAAAGCCCAGGGGGAGCGAACGGG